rnacentral:misc_RNA from 1 species
GAUGAAGAACGUAGCAAAAUGAGAUAAGUAAUGUGAAUUGCAGAAUUCAGUGAAUCAUCGAAUCUUUGAACGCACAUUGCGCCCGCUGGUAUUCCGGCGGGCAUGCCUGUUCGAGCGUCAUUUCAACCCUCAAGCCCCCGGGUUUGGUGUUGGGGAUCGGCUCUGCCCUCUGGGCGGUGCCGCCCCCGAAAUACAUUGGCGGUCUCGCUGCAGCCUCCAUUGCGUAGUAGCUAACACCUCGCAACUGGAACGCGGCGCGGCCAUGCCGUAAAACCCCAACUUCUGAAUGUUGACCUCGGAUCAGGUAGGAAUACCCGCUGAACUUAAGCAUAUCAAUAAGCGGAGGA